AUGAAGCCAUCAUUUGCAGCUCUUCUACUUGUGUGUCUUAUUCUCUCCUCAUCUAUGUUUGAAAUCACAGCACUUGGUGUUGGUGCAGGUAGUUUCUGCUCGGCAAAAUGCAGACAGAGGUGCUUGAAAGCUGGGAGGAGAGACAUGUGCUUGAAUUUAUGUGGAAUUUGUUGCAGUAAGUGUAAGUGUGUGCCAUCAGGGACAUAUGGUAACAAACAUGAGUCUCCUUGUUACAGAGACAUGAGAAACUCAAAGGGAAAUCCAAAAUUCCCUUAA